rnacentral:rRNA from 1 species
CAGUCGCCGCGGGAAUACGAAGGGGGCUAGCGUUGCUCGGAAUCACUGGGCGUAAAGGGUGCGUAGGCGGGUCUUUAAGUCAGGGGUGAAAUCCUGGAGCUCAACUCCAGAACUGCCUUUGAUACUGAAGAUCUUGAGUUCGGGAGAGGUAAGUGGAACUGCGAGUGUAGAGGUGAAAUUCGUAGAUAUUCGCAAGAACACCAGUGGCGAAGGCGGCUCACUGGCCCGAUACUGACGCUGAGGCACGAAAGCGUGGGGAGCAAACAGGAUUAGAUACCCCCGUAGUCCCUGUCUCUUAUAC